GAUGAACGCUGGCGGCGUGCAUAACACAUUCAAGUCGAACGGUGAAGGGACUUCGGUCCCGGAUCAGUGGCGGACGGGUGAGUAACGCGUGAGCAACCUGCCUACGAUUGGGGGAUAACACAGGGAAACUUGUGCUAAUACCGCAUAACACAUACGAGUUGCAUGUCUUGUAUGUCAAAGAUACGUCGAUCGUAGAUGGGCUCGCGUCUGAUUAGGUAGUUGGUGAGGUAACGGCCCACCAAGCCUACGAUCGGUAGCCGAACUGAGAGGUUGAACGGCCACAUUGGAACUGAGAAACGGUCCAG
rnacentral:rRNA from 1 species